UUGCUUUUAAUUAUUUUAAUUCAGGAGAAUAGCUAAGGGGGCAGUUUUAUACUACAUAUAAUCUGGUGGACUGCAGCCAAACGAAGUGUUCUCACUGCUUCUGUUCAUACUGAUCUGAUGAUUGUGUGGCCUUGGCAUUCACUGGCUGGCUGGAGGAUUGCACACCAAAGAGGAGAAAAAAGGUCUAAAGAAGAUUUCUACUUGACUCAUGAGAUAAUGCGACCUUUCUUAUAUCCAAAUCUUUGAGAUCAGAAGAAAGGAAAAUAUCAUACUCUUGAUGUCAGGUAAUAGGGCAGUAAGUCUCUGCUUGCAUUUAAAAUGUCUGACAUUUUUGGGGAGUUUCCACAAUCUAAAUAAUGUAUGGAAUCACAUUAGCCGAGAGUUUGCAUGGUGAAUGCCAUAGGUUAAGGAAAGGAUGAUGCAUUCCAUAUGAAGUAGACAUGCUCAGCUGCCGUUUGGAGUCUUCAUUAAAUUACUGGAGAUGGUAUGCCUUCCUAAUAUUAUGCACUCAAUUUUAAAACUG